GAAACAUAAUUGCAUCUUCAUCGAUGUCCAAACACAAUUUCAAGAUUGCAGUGAAAAGAAGAGAAGAUUUUGAAAAUGAAUGAUGCACGUGAGGUCGACCCACAUGCCUUGGCAACUGAAAACCGGAGAAUGGUAGCGAAACCUGAGCUUGUGACAGCCAAAAACUCGUUUCUGUGAUUUGUUAGGUAGGCUCGUUCGUAUAAAUGCUAUGGCAUUUUUAUUCUUUUAACCCUCACAUGGCCAUCCAAGCAUAUCAUGAUGCAUGACUUUGGUUCUCAAUGAAC
rnacentral:lncRNA from 1 species